rnacentral:tRNA from 1 species
GGAGAGCCAGUGUGGUGUAGUGGUUAAGAGCGGUAGACUCGUAAUCUGGUGAACUGGGAUCGAUUCCCCGCUUCUCCA